rnacentral:snoRNA from 1 species
GGUCUGUGAUGAACAGUAAAAGGUCUGAUUAUCCCAAGACUUGCACUUCCAUGACCUUUUCUCCCAGCAGUUUCUCACCGGUCACGGCACAGUAAUGAUGUGGCUGGCAGAGCGUUUGCUGACAGCUCGUGAUGUGUUCAGUUCAUGUUAACCUGAAGUGUCAGAGGCAUGACUGGGACCAGUAUCCAACAGUCUUACUUUGAAGGAGUUUGGGGUCUUGGAUUGUUAUAACUGGACGUUUGAUCUGACUUUUCUGCUGAGUCC